CUUGCCUUCUAUUCUUUCUUUUCUUCUUACUUCCUUCCAUGUAUUUCUUUGUAUUUUUUCCUUCCUUUUAUUUUCUUUCCCUUCCUUUCUUUCAUUUUCCUUUGUCUCUUUCUGGCAUUCCUUCCUUUUCUUUUCAUUUCCCUUUCCCUUCUUAAUUUCUUUCCUUCUUUUCUUUUCUUCUUCUUUCCUUCCUCUUUUUUUUUCUUUCCUUUUCAUUUCUUCUUCUUCCCCACAUGGA
rnacentral:lncRNA from 1 species